GGGAUCUGAUAGUUAUAUUUCUAACUGGCAACUUUCUUAGAGGAGAUGUACCAGAGUCAAUAUUGGUGAAAGGAAGUAAUGUGUGUGUCUCAUAUCUCUUGUAUCCUUUGAGUUCUUUAGCAUCUUUAUUACAUGGAUCUGAUAUUUGUUCACCUCAGUGAACACACUUAUCUGUUGUGUACUUGUAUUAGUUUAUAACCUAUGAUGACUUGAUUAAUUUACAGAAGGAAGUCUAUAUAUUUUUUUCUCAAUUGCUUCAUCAUUAUAAAUUAAAUUUCCACUUCUGUUUCUUACUUUCUUGCAGGGAUCUUUCCUACAAUAAUUUCACUCAGCCAACCUCUGAGCAUCGUGCUUGCCAGAGCAUGCAGGAAUUAAAUCUGAACUUGUUUCAAAGUUAUUCAGCGGCAAACAACUUGUAAGUUGCCUUUUUGGUUUAAGUGAGCCUUAGCAACCAAUGAAAAAGAAUUGCAGUUCCAAGGCUUCAUUUUUUGUAUAUUGUCCCUUCUAUGCUUUUUACUGAUUUGUCAAGAAAGCAAUCGUUCUUCCCUUGAAACAUAUUUUAGAAUUAUCAAAUAAUAUUUUUCAUUGUUUCAUCGUCUCAUAGAGUAAUAUAUUAUUGACCUUGAAGUGUUUUCUGUAUAA